ensembl:lncRNA
CCCUAAUGUGGGUGAUCGUCAUCCAGUCACGUGAAGGCCUGAACAGAACAAAAUUGACGUUUCUUCUACUACUAAAAGGGAACUCCUCCUGACUUACUUCCUGGAGUUGAGACAUUGGUCUUUUUCCUGUCUUCAGAAUUGAACUGAAACAUUGGCUCUUGGGUCUCGAGCUUGCUAUUUUUCAUGCUGGAAUACACCAUCAGCUCUCUUCCUUCUCAGACAUUUGGACUUGGUCUAGAACUUCACCACCUGCUCUCCUGGGUCUCCAGUUUACUGACCUCAGACCUUAGGACUUCUAACUAUCCAUGAUCAGUGUCACUACAGGGAAGUGUGGUGCUGAACUAAGUAAAUUUGGAAAAGAGUAGAAUCUGUAAAGCCAAAGGAACUACACAUAAGUACUGUAGGUGAGUUGAUAAAGCCAUUCCGCACGAGCGUGUGGAUGAAUAAUUCUGAUGUUACUGUACAUGUACAGUGGAAUUAAACAAGUAAAUGGGUGGCACAAAGUGGGAGCCAACUUUCAUUACAUAUAGAUCAUCAUUCAUAGAUACGUGUAUAUGCAUGAGUGAUGUGUGCAUAGAUAGUUCUUUGCUUUGCCAACUGAAAAAGCUCUAAAGAAACAACACUCCACUCAUCGUAACAAGUAUACCUAAUGCCCAGAUCUUGGUUUCUUACACCCCUUGCAAUAACAGUAACCAGAGUGCCUUGGAAUAAUAGCUGACCUAAAGACUACCAAAGAAAUAUACAAGAUGAGCCUGGAACAUAUAGCGACAGAAAGUGAGGGAGUACACAAAACCAAGCCAAACAAACACAGCAAAAUUCCACCUUCAUGUCAUUCUGUCAAAGGAGCACAAGAGCCAAGUGAAAGAGUUCCCAUGCCAAAGAUGGAACAAUUUGAGCAACGGAGCAAAGUAGUAUUGGAUUAUCACAAGUACAAAAUAAAUAUCUGGGAGUCCAUAUUGAUAAAUAAAUGAAUAAAUAAAUGGGAGAAGAGAUAUCUCCCAUGAAGAAGAAUUCCAAAUAAUUUAUGUAGAUACUCAAGUCUCAAGGUCAGGGACCAUAAAUCUUCACUCCUUAAAUGUGGGCUAUGCAUACCUCCUUCCAGAUAUACAUUAUGGAAAUAGAGAGAGAGAAAAAAAAAAAACUUUACAGCUAGUAAGCUUGACAAACGCUACCUCAGUCAGGUAAUCAAGAUGGACAUCAGCUGUGAUAAGUCCUGUUGAUGGUUGGUAGUCUUAAUGUGGUGUGAUGUGAUGAAAAUGACACUUACCUCUGUGAUCUUCCUCCAAAACCCUUGGCUCCCAUUGAAUCAUGAGAAAUACAUCAAAUUCCAAUAGCGGGAUAACCUAAAAAAUACCUGAUCAGUACUCAAAACUGUCAAGAUAAUAAAAAAUAAGGAAAGUCUGAUGGCCAACACAUAAAAAGAUGCUUAGCAUCAAUCACUGUUAGAGAAGUGAAAAUCAAAGCUACAAUGAGGUAUCAACUCACACCAGUCAGAAUGGCCAUCAUAAGAAUUAAAGAUUUUAAAAUUAAAAAAAAUUAAAAACUAAAAAAAUAAAAUAAA